GGGUGGGUUGGGACAGGGCAGGGGACAGCCUUUUCCCAGGAAAGGUUGGCAAGAGCCCCCUACUGGACAACCCCAGAGAAAGCCCAGCAACAUGACCUCCAGAUAAAAGCAGCCUUUCCUGCCAAGAGCCAGAAGGACAGAAACAAGACAGAGAAGGGACUGAUUCACUCCCUCACGUCUGUGUCUCUACCCCUCUGCCACUGAGGCUGGCACUGGCACACAUGCUCAUGUUCUUCCAGGCGGAGAAAACACACACACACACACAACCACUACCUCUGUCCUCCAAUGCUCAGGGUUCAGCACCACAAACAAGUCAGGAUCCACAUGAACAUCCAUAUGUCCAGAGGGUCCUCUGUUCUCCUGAGGACACGGAAGCAGCGGCCACUUCUGCAGGGAGGAUUCUUGCUCGUCUGGUGGAGAGAAGGCUGCCCUGGAGGCUCAGGGUGCAGUGGAAGGAGCGGGCACCGCGAGGUCAGACCAGGGCUGAUCCCAGCACCACCCCAAGUGGCCAUGUCCCCGGCAUCCACUUCCUCACCUGCAAAGGGCACAGCACCGUCUCCACUGGGCACUGCUGCAGGUACUAAGAAAACUGAUACAGAAGCUUCUAACCAGCACCCUCCCCUCCCUCCGCAGGAGGAGAGUGAUACUUGGGAAGAACCUCUCUUCUUCCUUCAUCUCGACGUGGUCUGAAUUUGGUUUAACUCUGCAUCUUCCUCCUCAGUGGGGUUGAAACACAUCAUUGGUUACCUAAUGGCCCAUCAAGCCAUGAGGCCUUUAUUAAACAGCAGCGUGAGACCGAGGCCACAAGGAUCAGAAUCUGCCCCCGCUGCUUUGGUGAAGACCGCUGCCUCCUGGGCCUCCGUCUCCACUUCAGGGGCUCAGGGAAGGGGCACUGUUGCUCUAAGGGGGACACAGCAGAUGGUGGCUGGCAGCCUGAGGCCCUGCCCCGCUCUGAAGGAUAGCAGUCCCUGGGGAGAAGCCACCUCUUCCCGCACUGCCACCCACCCAGCCCUGUGUCCUGGGGACAGGAGAGCGCCUUGGCAUCCACAAAGGCCUGGGCGUGGGUCUCAGUCCAGCCUUAGCUGCCUCAUCUGUAAAAUGGGGCUAAGGACAGAGACCUGACUCGCCUUAGGGGGCUGGUGGGAGGCCCAGUAAAGCACAGAGGCACUUCCGUUGUCACUCUGCAGAGAGGGCUAAUGUGCCUACCCUGCCAUCCCCUCACAAAGUGCCAUCUCAGCGCGGACCCUGCCCAGCCACUCGCCAGAAGCUGGACUUGACCUGGAGGCACCUCUCCCUGCCCUCAGGGGGGGUUUUCCCUACUUCCAAUUCACCCCCUCUAAAUACACUGUCCACACACUGCAGGGGGCUCUAACAUACAAAUGUGGCU
rnacentral:lncRNA from 1 species